UGGGGAAUAUUGGACAAUGGACGAAAGUCUGACGCAGCAACGCCGCGUGUAGGAUGAAGCCUCUAGGGGUGUAAACUACUGUCAGCAGGGAAGAAAUUGACUGUACCUGCAGAGGAAGCACCGGCUAACUCCGUGCCAGCAGCCGCGGUAAGACGGAGGGUGCAAGCGUUGUCCGGAAUUAUUGGGCGUAAAGAGUUCGUAGGCGGUUAUUUAAGUCUGAUGUUAAAGCCCGAAGCUUAACUUCGGCAUGGCAUUGGAAACUGGAUGACUAGAGUGCGGUAGAGGUAUCGGGAAUUCCAGGUGUAGCGGUGAAAUGCGUAGAUAUCAAGAGGAACACCUGAGGUGAAGACGGGUUGCUGGGCUGAUACUGACGCUGAGGCGCGAAAGCUAGGGUAGCAAACGGGAUUAGAUACCCCCGUAGUCCCUGAGCGGGCUGGCAAGGCGCAU
rnacentral:rRNA from 1 species